rnacentral:rRNA from 1 species
UCCUACGGGAGGCAGCAGUGAGGAAUAUUGGUCAACGGGCGAGAGCCUGAACCAGCCAAGUCGCGUGAGGGAAGACGGUCCUAUGGAUUGUGAACCUCUUUUGCCGGGGAGCAAAAAGCGGUACGUGUACCGCAUCGAGAGUACCCGGAGAAAAAGCAUCGGCUAACUCCGUGCCAGCAGCCGCGGUAAUACGGAGGAUGCGAGCGUUAUCCGGAUUUAUUGGGUUUAAAGGGUGCGCAGGCAGACCAUCAAGUCAGCGGUAAAAUCGUGGGGCCCAACCCCAUCCCGCCGUUGAAACUGGCGGG